CUCCUACCGAUUGGAUGUGCUGGUGAAGCCCUAGGACUGGCGGCCUUUGGUGGUUCUCCGCCGACGAGUCGCCGGGAAUUCGGUUAAACCCUCCCAUCUAGAGGAAGGAGAAGUCGUAACAAGGUC
rnacentral:rRNA from 1 species